rnacentral:rRNA from 1 species
UAAGGAAUAUUGGUCAAUGCCCGGAAGGGUGAACCAGCCAUCCCGCGUGAAGGAUGAAGGGGCUCUGCCUUGUAAACUUCUUUUGAAUGGGACGAAAAAGCCUCACUUGUGAGGAACUGACGGUACCAUUAGAAUAAGCACCGGCUAACUCCGUGCCAGCAGCCGCGGUAAUACGGAGGGUGCGAGCGUUAUCCGGAAUCACUGGGUUUAAAGGGUGCGUAGGCGGCUGUAUAAGUCAGUGGUGAAAGGCUGUGGCUUAACCAUGGGAUUGCCAUUGAUACUGUACGGCUUGAAUUAGGAUGAGGUUGGCGGAAUGUGACAUGUAGCGGUGAAAUGCUUAGAUAUGUCAUGGAACAUCGAUUGCGACGGCAGCUGACUGGACCUUAAUUGACGCUGAGGCACGAAAGCGUGGGGAGCGAACAGGAUUAGAUACCCACGUAGUCCCUGAGCGGGCUGGCAAGGCGCAU